rnacentral:lncRNA from 1 species
GUAUUUCACAGAUUACAAUUUAUUUGAUUUCUACUAGCGUGACUCUAACACUGGCGUUAAUGAUUUGCAUUGAACGAUUUGUCUCAGUUAGACUCAACAAUUUUGGGACAUUGAAUCGCAGAGAUGGAUGGAAAAAAUACUUAACAAUAAUUUCGUUACUCUUGACGACAGGUUAUGUUAUUGUUUGCAUGGUUGCAAAACCGAG